AGAUGAUGUGAAAUGCCUUGGG
rnacentral:siRNA from 1 species